rnacentral:lncRNA from 1 species
CACAGAAACGCCGCGCCGAGGGCCGGGCCGGAGGAGCACAGGGGAGCGGCCGCUCCUCCCGGGAUGUGGGUGGGAGUGGGAGAGGCGGGAGUGUGUAUCACUGGCGCGUCGCCGAGGGAGGCUGAGCCCUGGGAGCCGGCCGCCAGCAUGCGUCGCUGGUGUCACCGUGUGUGGUGGCUUGCGAGGGUGUGUGUGUCCCGAAGGGAAAACACUGUGCGUGUGAUAAGUUGCACACCUCCCAACACACACUCCUCGUUUUACAAAAAUCAGCAGCUGAGGGCAGAGGACAAGGAGGGCUGGCCAGUGCACAAACUGGGGCUUGGCUCCCAUCCGGGGCCUGUGUCCCUGAGUGGAUGCAGAAGCUCUGGACCAACCAGCCCAGGUGUCUGGCAGGGCCCAGGGCCCACCUCCCCAGACACACACAUACUUUUCCUGGUCACUGCCCCCCUCACACUCCCCGCAAGGAGCCCAGGCAUCUCCUCCUUCAGGAAGGAGAAAGGAACCCCUCACACCAGGGUAUUGGCUCACAGAGACCCUCACAGCCCACACGGAAACAGGAACACAUACCUGGACACAGGCUCACACCUGGAAGCACACCCAGGGAAAUCACUCCUGCUCUCGGAAUCCUAGUUGGGAGAGCCCACCAGCAGGCUGUGAGGCAGUGGCAAGGCUUGAAAAGGCUUCUUGGUGAGAUGCCCCUUCCCUCUGCCAGGGGCUGGGAACAGGAAGGCUGGAGGUCACUGAACCUUGAACCUUAGCGGCCCCAGCACCUUGUGAUGGGCCCUGAGGGUACCGCCCUGUGUGAAGGGCCUCAGAACCCCAGCACUCCCAAGGACCGGAGCCAAGGUGGGGAUAUGGGCACUGUAGUGAUAUUGAUCACCAGACACUGGGUGGGGAGCUGGGCUGGAGCGGGUGCUUCGGAGCAUCCAAGGUUCCCUCCACCCAUCAGGCCAGUCCUCACCUUGGGCACUCACCUCAGCGACCUACUAUCCCAGCUUCGGGUAGAUGUCACCCAGCUGCACUGGGAACUAUGGGAGGUAGCCCAGGCCAUGCAGCACCUGCCAGCCUUCCCGCCUGGGCUCACAGGGCUGUCAUGCUCCCAUCCUCCUCCCUUCACCCUACAGCUGGGCCAUGGCUCUGAGACAGUGACCUUGCCUGCAGGAUGGCGCACAUGAGUCUUUCACCCCUCCUUACCAGCUAUUUCCCCUGGGCCCAAAGCACAGGAUUGCAGAGGGCUGGUGGGGCUGAACUUGCCAGGAGCUUGGGUCCUCCAUGUCCCCACCUGUGAGAUAGAGAGGACACCCUAUCCUGACCAGUCCACCACAGGGUGCCUAAACUGUAAAGUGCAUCUGCAGUACCCACGGGGGUCUUCAGCUCCCAAAACACUGGGGCAAGCUGGGUGAGGGAUGUUAUUUAACUGGAAUGGCUAUGGUUUGCAGAACCAGAGCUUCCAAAUUACUUAGCAAAACAUGUUUGCUUUUUAAUUAACAUGUGCUUGAAAAACAAUGGUUUUCAUUAAAGUGGGUGGGGGAGAGAAGGGACUGUAGGGGAGAAUAUUUCAAGGAGCUCCAAGUUCCAGGCCAGACUUCUUAAAAAUAAAGUGGGAGUCUUGCCCCAAGCCGGCAGAGGCUGGGAGGCAAGAUUCCCUGCUGGACAGCCCAAGGAACAGCCCUACUACCUGCCUCCACCACUCUCUGGCUCCCUGGCUGAGAAUCUGCCCUUUCGCUGAUGGCUCAGUUACUUACCUACUAUUCCCUGGGCCACUCUGGGAAGGGGAGGUCUUUUUUUUUUUUUUUUUUUUUUUUUUUGGAGAUGGAGUCUCACUCACCCUGUCACCUAGGCUGGAGUGCAGUGUCUUGAUCUCAGCUCACCACAACAUCCGCCUCUGGGGUUCAAGCAAUUCUCCUGCCUCAGCCUCCUGCAUAGCUGGGAUUACAGGCACGCACCACCACGUCCAGCUAAUUUUUCUAUUUUUAGUAGAGACAGGGUUUUGCAUUGUUGGCCAGGCUGCUUGAACUCCUGACCUCAAGUGAUCCGCCUGCCUCGGCCUCCCAAAGUGCUGAGAUUACAGGCAUGAGCCACCGCGCCUGGCCGGUGUGGUCUUUUAUAAAGCAGUCUUGGCGUUCAAUGAAUGAGGUCCACCAGGCAGAUAAGCAAAAGGAAACAGCAUGAGUAACAACCUGAAAGCAUGGGCCUGGAAGCCACUGAUGUCCAAGCCCCAGGGAGAUUGGGGCAGGGAGGCUGAGCUGGUGCCAAGGACAUAAGGGUGGGAAGGGAGGAUGAACUCACAUGGAGCAGAGGGGAUAUGUGAGGAACUGGCCAGAGGAAGUGGAGGGCUGGGAGACUGGAAGCAGGACGCAUUCCAAAGCCUCAGGGCUUGCUCCCCAGAGGCUGAUGGGCAGGAUUGCAGGUUCAGUCAGUCCAACAGGGGGCAGCGUUGACUCCAUCAUCCAGCAUGGAGAAGGCAUGCCAUCGGUGUUCAAUAAAUGCCUGUGUUAGCGGCCCCAGCAUGGCUGCCUCCUGCAGAAGGCCAGGUGAGGGGCAAGCGCAACAGAGAAGCACUCGGCCUCCUCCAGCUCAGCGUCCAUGGGCCACAGAAUUCACAUAGGCAAGCCAAGGGCCACAGAGAGGAAAGAAGGAGAGAGGGAAAGAAGGAGGAAAGGGAAGAGGGGAAGGAGAAAUGUGGGACAAAGAGGGAAAGGAAGGAAGGAAGGAGGGGAGGGAGGGAGGAAAGGAGGAAGGAAGGAAAAAAAGGGGGAAGGAAGAAGGAAAAGAGGAAAGGAAGAAAGGAAAGGAGGGAAGAAGGGGAGGAAAAUGGGAGGGAAGGCAGGAAAGAAGAAAGGACGAAAGGGAGGGAGGUGGGUAGGAAGGGAGGGAGGGAGAAAAGGAAGAAAAAAGAGGAGGGGAGGGAAGGAAGGAGAGAAGGAAAAAAGAGAGGGAGGAAGGGAAAUAAGUCAGAAAGGAAGGCCGGCAAGAAGCCAUUUAUUCAUGAGGCCCAUGGGGUGGGGACAGAGCUGCUGUCACAGGUAAGCACAGCCUGAGAGGGGCCAGAGAUGGCAACCACGCGGAGAGGUCCAAGGGUUUUUGCAGGAGUCUUGGUAAGGCUCCCGUCCUUCCCACGACUCCAGGCCGCUGGUGUCAGCAUCACAAAGGGGAGAUGAGACGUCCCUGCACAGCCUUCCCUGGGCUUC